GACGUAGGGGGCCAGCGUUGCUCGGAAUUACUGGGUGUAAAGGGUUCGUAGGCGGUGUGGCAAGUUGGGAGUGAAAUCUCUGGGCUCAACCCAGAGGCUGCUUCCAAAACUGCUGUGCUUGAGUGUGAGAGAGGCUCGUGGAAUUGCAGGUGUAGCGGUGAAAUGCGCAGAUAUCUGCAGGAACACCCGUGGCGAAAGCGGCGCGCUGGACCAUAACUGACGCUGAAUGACGAAAGCUAGGGGAGCAAACAGG
rnacentral:rRNA from 1 species